UCCCUGGUGGUCCAGUGGUUAGGACUCCGAGCUUCCAAUGCUGUGGGCCCAGGUUUGAUCCCUGGUCGGGGAA